AGCGAACGCUGGCGGCAGGCCUAACACAUGCAAGUCGAACGAACCUUUCGGGGUUAGUGGCGGACGGGUGAGUAACACGUGGGAACGUGCCUUUAGGUUCGGAAUAACUCAGGGAAACUUGUGCUAAUACCGAAUGUGCCCUUCGGGGGAAAGAUUUAUCGCCUUUAGAGCGGCCCGCGUCUGAUUAGCUAGUUGGUUGAGGUAAUGGCUCACCAAGGCGACGAUCAGUAGCUGGUCUGAGAGGAUGAUCAGCCACAUUGGGACUGAGUCACGGCCCAAACUCCUACGGGAGGCAGCAGUGGGGAAUCUUGCGCAAUGGGCGAAAGCCUGACGCAGCCAUGCCGCGUGAAUGAUGAAGGUCUUAGGAUUGUAAAAUUCUUUCACCGGGGACGAUAAUGACGGUACCCGGAGAAGAAGCCCCGGCUAACUUCGUG
rnacentral:rRNA from 1 species